rnacentral:tRNA from 1 species
ACGUGGCUGGCUCAGUUGGUAGAGCAUGGGACUCUUGAUCUUAGGGGUUGUGAGUUUGAGCCCCAUGUUGGGUA